CCUACGGGGAGCAGCAGUGGGGGAUAUUGCACAAUGGGGGGAACCCUGAUGCAGCGACGCCGCGUGGGUGAAGAAGCGCCUCGGCGCGUAAAGCCCCGUCAGCAGGGGAGAAAAUGACGGUACCUGAAGAAGAAGCCCCGGCUAACUACGUGCCCGCAGCCGCGGUAAUACGUAGGGGGCAAGCGUUAUCCGGAUUUACUGGGUGGAAAGGGGGCGCAGACGGCGAUGCAAGCCAGGAGUGAAAGCCCGGGGCCCAACCCCGGGACUGCGCGUGGAACUGCGUGGCUGGAGUGCAGGAGGGGCAGGCGGAAUUCCUGGUGUAGCGGUGAAAUGCGUAGAUAUCAGGAGGAACACCGGUGGCGAAGGCGGCCUGCUGGACUGCAACUGACGUUGAGGCCCGAAAGCGUGGGGAGCAAACAGGAUUAGAUACCCCUGUAGUC
rnacentral:rRNA from 1 species